UUGCCAAUGGGCGCAAGCCUGAUGCAGCGACGCCGCGUGAGGGAUGACGGCCUUCGGGUUGUAAACCUCUUUCAGCAGGGAAGAAGCGCAGGUGACGGNACCUGCAGAAGAAGCGCCGGCUAACUACGUGCCAGCAGCCGCGGUAAUA
rnacentral:rRNA from 1 species